AUUGAACGCUGGCGGCAGGCCUAACACAUGCAAGUCGAGCGGAUGAAGGGAGCUUGCUCCUGGAUUCAGCGGCGGACGGGUGAGUAAUGCCUAGGAAUCUGCCUGGUAGUGGGGGAUAACGUCCGGAAACGGGCGCUAAUACCGCAUACGUCCUGAGGGAGAAAGUGGGGGAUCUUCGGACCUCACGCUAUCAGAUGAGCCUAGGUCGGAUUAGCUAGUUGGUGGGGUAAAGGCCUACCAAGGCGACGAUCCGUAACUGGUCUGAGAGGAUGAUCAGUCACAUUGGAAAGGAGACACGUACCAGACUCCUCGGGGGGGCACAGGGGGGGAUUAUGGGAAAAGGGGAAAAGGCUUGCUCCCGCCGUCCCGGUUGGGGAAAGAAGUUUUUCGAUUUUUAAACCCUUUUAAGUGGGGAGAAAGGGCAACAAUUUAAUACUUUGUUUUUUGGACUUUACCAAAAAAAUAACCACCGGCAAACUUCGUG
rnacentral:rRNA from 1 species